ensembl:lncRNA
UGCAUAUGGAUUUAUAUAGUGUGUGUGUGUGUGUGUGUGUGUUUGUGUGUGUGUGUGUGUGUGUGCGUGUGUGUAUAUACUGCAUAUGGAUUUAUAUACUGUGUGUGUGUGUGUAUAUAUACAGUAUAUGUGUGUGUGUGUGUCUGGGCGAUUAUAUCACUUACGUAGUGUAUGUAAAGCAGUAUAAUAAUAUAUGUUUAGGGUUCAUGUAUGUACUAGUUAAUGUUUGAUCGACACACAGGUUAAUGUUGCAUCUUCAAGACAUUUGAACUGCAUCUUAUGGUAAGGAAAGAUGUUUACGGCUGAUUUGGAAAGUGAAUCUUCUUCCUCUUGUUUCCAGCUCUGACAGAAACGCCAGCAUCUACUCAGAUUCUCAGGCUCUCAGUCCUGCGUUGUAGUUAUUCAUGCUCUUGCAUUCACAGUUCAGAUAUAUUUGAGAGUGAGGACCGUGUUCUCAAACCAAACUCACAUUUUCAGUGAAGUGUUGCUGCAGAGAACUGUACUGGAACUGAUCAGAAAUCAUUCAGAAAUCAGCUCUACAAUCUGAGCAGAUGAGGCUCAUUCAGAAACACAUCAGAUUAUUAUCUGCAUUAACUCCUGGUAGUUUCAUCGCAUGACAAUCAUUAACACCCAACAAGAUGUUUGUUUACUGUGAAUAUUAAUAGAUUUAAUUAUUGAUGAAGCACCUGCCUUAAUCAGUGUAUGAUUUUACCAUAGUAAAGAGGGUUUUAGCACUCCUAAAAUAACCAGGAAUGAACCAGGAUUUUUACAAGAAGACUUCAUGUGUUCAUUCUGCAUCUCCACUAAAUGAUUUAAGGAUGUUCAGAUAUUUGUACUGGAAAACAAGACAAACAUACAGAAGAAGACACUCAUGACUUCCUGAAAUGUAAUAGCUUUUUAAGGCUUUAGUUUGUGGAUGGUCGUAGUAAAGUGACUGUGGACAUGGUCUCGUGGCUCUUCUUGGUUGAAGUGUGUGACUCUGGUGCAGUGAAACUGUAUGAAGCCUGACAUGAACAUGAUACAUGUUUAAAGAACUAAUGUGCUUCUGUUCAGAAGUGAAUCUCACAUGAUUUUUCUAGCAGCUGAUUGGAUUUCUGUACUCAGGAGAGAUGCUUUGCAGUGACCCCGAGCCGAGUGAACAGCGCUGGAGCGACUGAAUGUGUGUAACGUGUACACCUCCUUCAGAUCCGAGAACCAGUUACAGAAGCUCACGAACCGUCCGGCGCAGAGCUGGACUCCAGAGACACAGGCCACGGAUUCAGCUUAUAAACACAUUGGUUUGAAAUCCUGAAAUGUCCAGUUUUUCUUUUAUUUAAAGUUUACAAAAAUGUUUCUUAAGCAGUCUACUAUUUUUUGAUUUUUACUCAAAAUAUGUUAUUUGAUUUGUUAUUUUUUAAUAUUCCAAUAGCGUUGAAAUGUCCACUUUUCUUGUUGCUGUGAUUAAGAUGUUAUAUAAAGAAAAGAAAAAAAACGCUCAUCAAGUUCACACAACAUCAUGAGGCCGUUUUGAGUUUUCUCUCACUGUUAUGAGAAUGUAUACUGAUAAUUAAUAAAGUUCUAAGAACAUUGCGUAAACACUGUUAAGAAAGAUUUUUCUAGCAUGUAUAUAACUGCGGAGGAGCUGUGAGAGUGUUUCUGGAGCGGUGACACAGUGAGGCGGUCAGGACACACUUUGAGGACAGUGACGGUUGUU